CUCACUGUCGUGGCUUACUGGAACAGCUGAAUGCAACAGAGCCACCAUUAAUGUUAUUAGUAACACCUGUGCUUUUUCCGACUAUGACGAGUCAAAAUGUCUGCUGUGAAAAAGGCUCUUCUUAUAAACAGUUUGGCCCGUACCGUCUCCUAAUACCACGAUGGAUAGUGAGUCACUGAAGCGUCCAGUCUGCCCCCAGUCCAACAUGAGAGGAUGAAGUAGUGCUACCCAGAGGGCGUAUUCUAACCUCUUGUCUUGUAAAUGCAACGACGGCUGAGGCUCUUGGUCAGUAAAACUGCGAUCCAUCCAGUGAUUUUCUGUAUUUGGUGUGAAGGAGCAAUGGAGCAAAGAUUACAACCUUCCUACAUGACUGAGGGCUGAUAUAGCAGCACCUUAUUUUUUUUUUACUAUCAUUAUUUGUUUAUUAUUAAAUUAUGUUUUAGAAAGUGAUGCUAAAUAAUCACAUGUUGUGAUAUGGUAUGGCUUUAUUGAGUUCUAUUCUGUUUUGUUAUGAUAUGUCUUCUUUUUGUUGUAUUUCUUUCUUUGCUCAUACCUCCAUCUGUUUUUUAAAUACUGCUGUGGAAAAACAUGAUAGCAGAAAAACAGGAAGAAUUGACAGGUUUAAAUAGUGUUUUUCAGUCUCCUCAGCAUUAUAUUCUUCCUCCCCUACCUUUACUGUAGCUCAGAGCAGAUGCCACUUCUGUUGCCUCUGGCCCCAGACAGAUUCUGGGGACUCUGGGUCCACACAAACACCAUUAUAUCCUCCUUCACUUCCUCUCUCUUCCUCCUCUCUUUCCAUCCCUGUCUGUCUUCCUUUCACCUCUUCAUGUUCUUCUCUCCUGUCCUCCCUCCAACCCUUUCCAGCCCAUGUGGUGGACUGUGGAAUCAUAUUUUAUUACCGGCCCUAUAUGGCACCUUGCAGCAUCCUGUGUCAAUCCACACAAGUGAUCAUUUCUCACAAACUGCUUGGGGAGGUAAAGGAGGAGGAGAGAGGAGUGAAGCUGGAGGCUUAUUGCUCUCAAUGUAUUUCACAUCUGUGCCUGUCAGAGUUGCUCUGAAGCAGAAAGGGAGGAGUAAUAUACAUGCCAUCUUCAAAAAGAUGGGCAACAAAUAAACUGCAGUGCAUAACAAAUUGCAGAAGCCAUUUGGUGAAGUUAUUUGUAUGACAAAGCAUGUUAGCACUAAAGACUGGGAGACCUAAAAUGAAAUUUACAGAGGUACACCGUGUAUUACCACAUUACCUUGAAACACCAAGCUCCAAUUUGCUCUGUAGGAGGAUAUUAAAAGACAAGGAGGGACAGGGAAAGCAAUAUUGAGCCACACAACCUUUUUGACACUUAAACUAUUAGUUGAACCAGGUUAAGAUAAUCUACCUGACCUCCUAUAUUAUUAUUCCUACAGGUUGAUCCGAGAUGAUAUUCAGGGCUCAAGGUGUCUAAAUGUUUGUCAGUUCAUUAAAGUAAAGACAGGUUGAAUACUUACCUUGGAGUAAACAGAGCAAUUGUCUCCCAAUCAAUACUCUGAAAAGGUACCUCAUUGCGGCUCAUAUGUAUUCAAUUUGCCAGAGAGCGUUACAGCUGAACUUCACCUCCAUUGCUUUUACACUCCAGUACAAAACAAGCUUUCACACCUGUCACAUGGAGUUGAACCAAAGUGGUAAAUGAAUUCUUCAGCUGAAUAUCCCCAACAGCAGUUGCAUCUGUGCAGAGACACCAUAUGCUGGCUGCUCUGUACAAAUGGUGUUAUAGAGUGUGGGUGCAAGACAAUAAAUCAUUUUUCAUGAGGUUAAAGUGAUACUCCAUCUUUUGAGUGUCAAACACUUACCUCCUGUUGUUUUCAAUGGUGGCUGUAAAGGAGAUUUGUUUGAAUGUUCUUUAUUAAGCAGACAGGGCAGCCUUGAACUUAGUCUGUUACAGUGUGUGAAAAGUUUUUAUGAUGGAAAAAUAUGUCCUUAGAAACAUCUCAAACCACUCCACUGUCCGUCUGUCUGUUCAUUAUGUAUUACAGAUCACUGCUUCGACAAUCUC